rnacentral:rRNA from 1 species
GGCGGCAUGCCUUACACAUGCAAGUCGAACGGCAGCACGGGAGCUUGCUCUUGGUGGCGAGUGGCGAACGGGUGAGUAGUAUAUCGGAACGUACCCAGUGGUGGGGGAUAACGCAGCGAAAGCUGCGCUAAUACCGCAUACGCUCUCUGGAGGAAAGUGGGGGACUCGCAAGGGCCUCACGCUAUUGGAGCGGCCGAUAUCUGAUUAGCUAGUUGGUGAGGUAAAGGCUCACCAAGGCAUCGAUCAGUAGCUGGUCUGAGAGGACGACCAGCCACACUGGAACUGAGACACGGUCCAGACUCCUACGGGAGGCAGCAGUGGGGAAUUUUGGACAAUGGGCGAAAGCCUGAUCCAGCAAUGCCGCGUGAGUGAAGAAGGCCUUCGGGUUGUAAAGCUCUUUUGUCAGGGAAGAAACGGUAUGGGCUAAUAUCCCGUACUAAUGACGGUACCUGAAGAAUAAGCACCGGCUAACUACGUGCCAGCAGCCGCGGUAAUACGUAGGGUGCAAGCGUUAAUCGGAAUUACUGGGCGUAAAGCGUGCGCAGGCGGUUUUGUAAGUUUGUCGUGAAAGCCCCGGGCUCAACCUGGGAAUUGCGAUGAAGACUGCAAGGCUUGAAUCUGGCAGAGGGGGGUAGAAUUCCACGUGUAGCAGUGAAAUGCGUAGAGAUGUGGAGGAACACCGAUGGCGAAGGCAGCCCCCUGGGUCAAGAUUGACGCUCAUGCACGAAAGCGUGGGGAGC